rnacentral:lncRNA from 1 species
UUGAUGCUCGUUUGUCACUUACCUAUAGUGUUUUCUACUCAAAUUCCAGUACUACCUGAUCUGUCAAACGCAAUAUUACUCAAUUAGUGUAAGAGUCAACCUUCUGGAGUUACUAAUGCUUUAUUGUUUUUGUUUUUGUUUUUGUUUUGUUUUACUGCUGGUUUUCCUUUUAUCCUAUGAGCCGGGGGUCGAUUGGAAACAGCCUCUCUGCCCAUUCGGGUAGGGGUAAGACUUGUCUACAUAUUACCCUCCCCAGACCCCACUUGGUGGAGUAUAAUGAAAGGUUUAAAUACACAAAAUCAGAAAGAGGCUAAAUCGGAACUUCAAUUCUUCAAAAUCAGAAACUGAGAUUACCAGCAGCAAUGCGCUAUCGAAAUUCACAGGCACUUCAGACUAAGUCCAGGAAUUCAAAAUCUACACAGAAACCACAAAUCCAAUCGCAGCACCAAAAUUUAACCACACUGAAAUCAGUAGAUAAUUCUAGCCUACCAAAUCAACUCAAAACCAGCUUGAUUAAACCAAAACCAAUCGAUGAAAACAACAAUACAGCUUCAGAAGAUCCUUUAACAACCAGAAGAGAACAGAACUGGACAAUUCUGCCUAAGGUCCAAAGUAAUAGUGCAUUUUGAUUUCUUUUUUGAAGAUUUUUUUUACCUCUAUUUUUGGAUUUUUAAACUUUGGAAUUUUAAAACUGGAUAUGAAAUUGGGAAAAAGGCUAUUCUUAAGAGAAUUAUUUUUUUAAGGCUGAAAAGAAGACUACUCCCUAAGGCAUGAGAAUGCCAAUUUAUAGGGCGCUAUAAGGGUGAACAAUCAGAUUUUUGGUUUUCUUUUUAGUCCCUCUUCAUUUUUACUUUAGUCCCUCAUUUAUUAACUUGCUACCCAAGUACUUACCUCUAUUGUGUUGAAAUGUACACUAAAAUCCUAUUCUAGAAAGCCCUAGGGUGUUCUUCUACCUAUACAAUACCUAUAUACCCUUAUUUUUAUUUUUGAAAUUACUAUUCCUGAUAAACCAACCAUUUCUCAUGCCUAAACUACCCUAAAAACUUCUCAAAAUUACUGAUUCUACCUAAAUUUUUAACAGCUAUAACCAAUCCCCUAAACUAAUUCAAAACUAACUAGAAUUGAUUAACUAAAACUCAGAAAUUAACUAAUUGAACAAACAAAUCAGAAUUAUUCAUUCACACAAACUCAAUUAGAUUUAAAAAUCAAAAGACCAGGAUCAACAAUGCAAAGAUUAGACUAAUAGUCGGAACUAAAUGAAAUUAAACCAACAUUUAACCUAUAAGGUAACAAUUGAACAUUUAAACAUCACCUCAAAACUAAAGAAAUUAAAAUUAGCCUAAACAUCUUGCUAACAAUUAACGGACAGAAUUGUAUCGAGUCCAAGCUAAUCAAUUAAGAAAAUUCUGAAAUUAAAAUACAAUUAAUUAGUAGAUGAUAUAUGCAUCAAAUAAAACAAAACUAAAAACGAGAAGAAAAUUCAAUGAUUGAAACAGAUGGAACAAAAGAAGCAAAAGAGGAAUAAAAUUGUCUUGAUAAACAAGAUAAAACGUAAAACUAACGGAACACUUACUAUCGAACCUGCUAGACCCUGAAUUAUUCCCAAAAUAGUCGGACUGCAUGAACUCUAGAUCCAAAAAUCUCGAACUCUACCGAGAUUCGAGAGAUUCUAGCAUAGAAAUCUUCAUGAGGGGGGUUAAGGGGAUUGUGGGGUGCAAAUUUGGAGCUAUUUGGACAAGGUGUUAUUUUGGGCCUGAGCUUCAGACAUAUAUUCGAGAAGGUGUGGUUAGAUUCGAAGGAAACUGAUGGCAUGGUUGGAAAGAGGAGCGUGAGGAGAACAAUUUGUGUUAUUUUGGUUGGGUCUGGUGACCGGCGCCGCUGUGGGUGGCAGAAGUGGCGAUGACAGUUUUCAAUAUUCGAGAUGGCCAAGUGAUAUUCGAAGGGAAAUGAUAGUAUAUCUAUGAUGAGGGCGUCGAGGCGGUCUAUGGGUGUGAAUUUGAGAGCCACCGGAGAAAGUCAUGUCUUCUCCGACGGCGGCGCCGGUGAGGGAUGUAAGGGCGGCUGACCAGUUAGGGCUUAGGUGAGAGACGAGGGG